GUUGUUUUAUUUUUUGGCAACACUUACUACCUUCUAACUAACUAUACAACUUACCUUUUUAUCAUUUUUAUUUUCUAUUCCCCCUCACCAGAAUGUAAUGUCCAAGAAGGCAGAGAUUUUUGUCUAUUUUGUUCACUACUGUUUUCCAAGUGCCUAGAAAAAGUGCCCGACACACAGUAAGUGCUUAAUAUUUAUGAAAUGAACCGAUUCACAUUGAAGAGUAAAUGAUAGGGUUUAAUGAGUCCCCCAUGUCCGGUAGGUGCAGUUGCAUGCUCAGAAGGGACAGUCUGGGCUUUUGGUCACCAGAAUGGAUGGUUAAUAGUGGAAAUUCAUGCAUCAGUCAGCAGCAAGGGGGAGGGGAGUCUCUUUGGAGGCACCUACCCCCAGAUUACAGACACGUCACCCUGUCGAUACAGGCAGCAUCCCUCUCAGCCUGCUUAUCAGUCGUUCCUGGCAACGUCUCCGACAGGGUGUGGGGGUGGCAUUAGAAGCUACUGUCCCCAGUAUCCAUCUGUCAGCCUCAAACCAUCCAAGUGGCCAGGGAAAUCAGCCAAAAUCUGAUGAAUGAGAGAUCAAGGGGUAGGGGGCAAGUGAAGGAGGGAAGGAGGGAGAAAGGAGAGAAGAGGUUAAGAAGGACAAGAGAGCCUGAUCCAGGCUGUGGAUGCUCAGCCUCAGGUGUUGGAGGAAGGGGCUCCAGGUGACUAAGGCUCAGGCACCACCUGAAUACACUGAGUCAUGGCUGAGUCCUCGUCUGUGGAACAGGGUAGGCUCCAAGUACAGCCCUGGGGAUUUGCCAUGUGACUCAAGCUGGCGUGGCCCUCCCCUCCAGCACAACGGCUCAGCCAUGCAGACAAUUGGUCACUCUUCUGUGUGCCUCUCCAAGAACCAGAGAGAGAAGGAAAGAGCUCGGGACGCUCCUGUAUGAAUUUUGGCCCAUCUUAGCAAGGCAGCCCUCUUCGUGGACGUGGGGGAAGAAACGGAUGCCAAUACCACUUCUAUUCCGGAGACUCUCCUGCUGCUGCAGCCUGAUGUACAGGAGGCUUUUUGCAGCCAAAUCAUACCACGGACCCAUGUUGAGCUUCUAGACACAUUAACACCUCCAUGUUUUUCAAGUCAAAUACCGUUAAAAUAGGGUGGCCUCAUCUUGAAUCUGUGCUGUUCUUAAGACGUGCAUGCACAUGCACACACACAUGAAUACACAUGCCUUUGCACUUUUUCCUACUGCAUUUCAUCUGGUGAGCUUUGGCCUAGUCCUCCCUUUGCUGAGUCGGAUUUGGUACGCACUUUGACCUGUACACUUGCCAUCAUCUCCCAAUUAAAGUCCAGAGUCCACAGCCAGGCUCUCAGGGUCCUGCCAAAAAGGCUGCCUUUCUGGCCCUAGCUCACGCAGCGCCCCUUCACACAGGGGCUCUGAUCCAACCAUUCUAUUCCCUUCACCACACUUAGGCUUCGUUCAUCCAGCUCUGACUGUCUACACUGCCCUCUCCACCUCUUGUGUACUUGGCUAAAUCCCAAAACCAAGACUCAGAUCAGAUUCCUGGAUCAGUGAUGGCUUCUCUGCUGGUCUGUGUAAACUCUUCCCGAACUCCAGCAGCAGACCCUACUUACAGAAUUCAAUUAGUAAUCAGUUCUGUUCUGUUUUGUAAAUCCCUUCUAUCUCAAAUUUACACAAUUAUGGUUAUUCAACUUUUAGUUAUUUUGUGAUUUGCCCCCAAAGCUGGACUGCAAACUCCUUGAGGACAGAGACAACCUUUGGCCACUCUUUUUAUCCCCUAACAAGUGCAUAGUCCAGUGUUUGCACACAGUGAGUGCUCAAUAAACAGAUGCUGAUUUAUUAGUGUGGAUCCUUGGGGCAAGGGAAAAUCUAACAAAAAGUGUUUGAAGAAUAUCAUGCCAUGAAUAUUACCCAGGAACUCCCUCUUGAGACAACACAGAGAGAAAAUCAUUCAGAAAAAGAAAUAUUUUUUCCUCUAAGAACUGGAACCUGAGAAAAUUCACGAUGAGCUGAUUAACUGAUCAGCAGGCUUCUGAAGCCGCCCUUCCUGUUCCAUCCACCAUGGCUGGGACUUGGGGAAGCAAAGGCCAGGAAUCAAACUGGCAGUACUUUUGGUAUUUGUAACUUGAAUACUUCUGCGGUCAGACUAUGUAUCAGGUCCUCAAAGCAUUCAAGACCCAGCUUUUAGAAACUUGAGAGGUAAUGAAAGGAAUA
rnacentral:lncRNA from 1 species